rnacentral:lncRNA from 1 species
AGGCAGAGAAGAACCCUUGAAUUCUUUCUUUUUAUUUCUCGCCUGUCAGUGCCAUGUACUUCAAUGGUCUUUUGUCACUUAUUUUGUUCUUAGCCACACAUUUGGAUAACUCGCCAAGGUCGAGUGAAGGUGAAGGCGGGGUCAUUACCCAGAUUAAAAACAGCAUGAAAAUCAUCUUCUACACUGAGCACAGUCAUGCUAGUAACUCUUGACAGAGACAAUGGUCAUUCCUCCUCUGGCAGCCCAGGAUUCUGCCCAGGGUUUGUGGCAAGGAGGAAACAGUGGCUGAGAGGUCUUUUAAAUGCCUUCGCUGCCAACUUGUUUGAGAACCACACAAAAGAAUGUCGAAAUUGAAAGAUACUCCUGCUUUAACAAAUAAUUGAUGAAUUUCAUUAGUUGGAACUCAUUUUACCUUAUCCUUGGCGGCUGGCUUGAGAAAAGGUGAGGAGUAACUCAGAAAUUUCUGG